GACGAACGCUGGCGGCGUGCUUAACACAUGCAAGUCGAACGAUGACGACCGAGCUUGCUCGGUCUGAUUAGUGGCGAACGGGUGAGUAACACGUGAGCAACCUGCCCUUCACUCUGGGAUAACCUCGGGAAAUCGGGGCUAAUACCGGAUAUGAGCUCCUGUCGCAUGGCGGGUGUUGGAAAGUUUUUCGGUGAAGGAUGGGCUCGCGGCCUAUCAGUUUGUUGGUGUGGUAGUGGCUCACCAAGGCGAUGACGGGUAGCCGGCCUGAGAGGGCGACCGGCCACACUGGGACUGAGACACGGCCCAGACUCCUACGGGAGGCAGCAGUGGGGAAUAUUGCACAAUGGGCGAAAGCCUGGUGCAGCGACGCCGCGUGAGGGAUGACGGCCUUCGGGUUGUAAACCUCUUUCAGCAGGGAAGAAGCGAAAGUGACGGUACCUGCAGAAGAAGCGCCGGCUAACUACGUG
rnacentral:rRNA from 1 species